GACGAACGCUGGCGGCGUGCUUAACACAUGCAAGUCGAACGGAAAGACCCUGCUGUUGGGGGCUGCUCGAGUGGCGAACGGGUGAGUAAGACGUGAGUAACCUGCCCUUUACUUUGGGAUAACUUCUGGUAACUGGGGCUACUACCGGCUCGGAGCUCCUGCUGCAUGGUGGGGGUUGGAAAGUGUCGGCGGUCGGGGAUGGGCUCGCGGAUUAUCUGUUUGUGGGGGGGGGAGUGGGUGACCAAGGCUUUGACGGGUAGCCCGCCUGUGAGGGUGACCGGCCACAAUGGUACUGCGAGAGGGACCAGACUGCAAUGGGAGGCAACAGUGGGGAGUAUUGUGCAGUGGGGGGAAGCCUGAGGCAGCAGCGCCGCGGUCGGGAUGACGGCCUAGGGGUUGUAAACCGCUUUCGCCUGUGACGAAGCGUGAGUGACGGUAAUGGGUAAAGAAGCACCGGCUAACUACGUG
rnacentral:rRNA from 1 species